AUGCAGGUGACAUACUUCUUUUUUUGGGUCGAUGCUCUGGCCAAGACUCUGAUGAAUGAACUGCAAGAAGAGCAUGAAGAAUGGUUGCGCAUGCUGCCACAAACGGUAGUGGCCGCAGCACAAGCUCCGGAAGAAGAGAUGGAGGGCGAAGCACGCACUGACAGAGAGCUAGCUAUUGAGCUUAGGAUGUUGAAGAAGAAAGUUAGCAAGCUUAAAGAUAAAGCACAAAUACCAAUACCCAUUUGCAAUUACUUUUAG
rnacentral:rRNA from 1 species